UGAUGCGGAUGAAGCGCACCAGCUGGCUUUUUUAAAGUCCGAAUUGUAAUUUGGAGAAGGUGUUUCGGACAUGAUAAUGGUUCAAGUUCGUUGGAAAACGACGUCAUAGAGGGUGACAAUCCCGUCUGCGGCUAAAUUAUCUGUCCAUGUGAAACCCUUUCGAUGAGUCGAGUUGUUUGGGAAUGCAGCUCAAAAUGGGUGGUAAAUUUCAUCUAAAGCUAAAUAUUAGCCAGAGACCGAUAGCGCACAAGUAGAGUGAUCGAAAGAUGAAAAGCACUUUGAAAAGAGAGUUAAACAGCACGUGAAAUUGUUGAAAGGGAAGCGCUUGCAACUAGACUUGUUUGCAGUAUUCAGCCUCUUGAAAAAGUGGUGUACUUGCUGUAUUUUACAGGCCAACAUCGGUUUUGACGGUUGGAUAAAGGCUCAAGGAAAGUAGCUUUCAUUCGUGGAAGUGUUAUAGUCUGAGUGUAAUGCAUACCAGUUGAGACCGAGGAAUGCGCUUCGUGCGAGGAUGUUGGCGUAAUGGUUGUCAGCGACCCGUCUUGAAACACGGACCAAGGAGUCGACCAAUAUAGCGAGAAUUAGGGUCUAAAACCCUUAUUCGCAAUGAAAGUGAAUGUAGGUGGGAGCUUCUUUUGAAGCGCACCAUCGACCGAUCUGAGUUCGCGAGGAUUUGAGUAUGAGUUAUGUUGGUCGGACCCGAAAGAAGGUGAACUAUUCCUGACUAGGCUGAAGUCAGAGGAAACUCUGAUGGAGGGCCGCAGCGGUUCUGACGUGCAAAUCGAUCGUCAAAGCUGGGAAUAGGGGCGAAAGACUAAUCGAACCUUCUAGUAGCUGGUUCCUGUCGAAGUUUCCCUCAGGAUAGCAGUAACGAAAUACAGUCUCAUGAGGUAGAGCAACGAUUAGAGGCCUGGGGGCAGAAACUGCCUUCACCUAUUCUCGAACUCCGAAUAUGUGAGAAGUCCUUGUUACUUAAUGAACGUGGACAUUGGAUUACGUACUUACUC
rnacentral:rRNA from 2 species